rnacentral:ncRNA from 1 species
GCGAUAAGAUCAGACAACAUCUUCAAUGUGAUGGAUUUUGCUAAGGUGGCCCAAAUCAUUGAUGCGUGCCACUAGAUCUCAAAUACGUUCUCCACCCGUACUGAAGGCUGCCACAAGGAAAAUUGUGUAAUGAACAAAAGUUUGACACAGCAACACCGCGCGUGGGAUGACGGAUCUAGGUUUGUAAACCACUUUCAAGAAGGAAGAAAAUGACGGUACCUCCACGUUAAGCCCCGGCCAACUACGGGCCAGUAUCCGCGGUAAUACGUAGNNNNN